AUUGAACGCUGGCGGCAGGCCUAACACAUGCAAGUCGAACGAGUGGCGGACGGGUGAGUAAUGUCUGGGAAACUGCCUGAUGGAGGGGGAUAACUAAUGGAAACGGUAGCUAAUAACGCAUACCAUCGGAUGUGCCCAGAUGGGAUUAGCUAGUCGGUGGGGUAACUGCUCACCUAGGCGACGAUCCCUAGCUGGUCUGAGAGGAUGACCAGCCACACUGGAACUGAGCCACGGUCCAGACUCCUACGGGAGGCAGCAGUGGGGAAUAUUGCACAAUGGGCGCAAGCCUGAUGCAGCCAUGCCGCGUGUAUGAAGAAGGCCUUCGGGUUGUAAAGUACUUUCAGCGGGGAGGCGUUACCCGCAGAAGAAGCACCGGCUAACUCCGUGCCAGCAGCCGCGGUAAUAC
rnacentral:rRNA from 1 species